GUGCCAGCAGCCGCGGUAAUACCAGCACCCCGAGUGGUCGGGAUGAUUAUUGGGCCUAAAGCAUCCGUAGCCGGUGUAACAAGUCCUCCGUUAAAUCCACCUGCUUAACAGGUGGGCUGCGGAGGAUACUGUUACACUAGGAGGCGGGAGAGGCGAGGGGUAUUCCACGGGUAGGGGUAAAAUCCUCUGAUCCGUGGAGGACCACCAGUGGCGAAGGCGCCUCGCCAGAACGCGCUCGACGGUGAGGGAUGAAAGCUGGGGGAGCAAACCGGAUUAGAUACCCGGGUAGUCCCAGCCGUAAACGAUGUAGGCUCGGUGAUGGACUGGCUCCGAGCCAGUCCAGUGCCGCAGGGAAGCCGUUAAGCCUACCGCCUGGGGAGUACGGCCGCAAGGCUGAAACUUAAAUGAAUUGACGGGG
rnacentral:rRNA from 1 species